GAGUUUGAUCUUGGCUCAGAUUGAACGCUGGCGGCAGGCCUAACACAUGCAAGUCGAGCGGAUGACGGGAGCUUGCUCCUUGAUUCAGCGGCGGACGGGUGAGUAAUGCCUGGGGAUCUGCCUGGUAGUGGGGGACAACGUUUCGAAAGGAACGCUAAUACCGCAUACGUCCUACGGGAGAAAGCAGGGGACCUUCGGGCCUUGCGCUAUCAGAUGAGCCUAGGUCGGAUUAGCUAGUUGGUGGGGUAAUGGCUCACCAAGGCGACGAUCCGUAACUGGUCUGAGAGGAUGAUCAGUCACACUGGAACUGAGACACGGUCCAGACUCCUACGGGAGGCAGCAGUGGGGAAUAUUGGACAAUGGGCGAAAGCCUGAUCCAGCCAUGCCGCGUGUGUGAAGAAGGUCUUCGGAUUGUAAAGCACUUUAAGUUGGGAGGAAGGGCAGUAAGUUAAUACCUUGCUGUUUUGACGUUACCGACAGAAUAAGCACCGGCUAACUCUGUGCCAGCCGCCG
rnacentral:rRNA from 1 species